rnacentral:rRNA from 1 species
GACGAAUGCUGGCGGCGUGCUUAACACAUGCAAGUUGAACGGAGGCUUUGUUUUCGGACGAAGCCUUAGUAGCGGACGGGUGAGUAACGCGUGAGCAACCUGCCUUUGUGAGGGGGAUAACAGCUGGAAACGGCUGCUAAUACCGCAUGAGACCACGACCCCGCAUGGGGACGAGGUAAAAGAGGAAACUCGCACAGAGAUGGGCUCGCGUCCCAUUAGCUAGUUGGUGAGGUAACGGCUCACCAAGGCGACGAUGGGUAGCCGACCUGAGAGGGUGAUCGGCCACACUGGAACUGAGACACGGUCCAGACUCCUACGGGAGGCAGCAGUGGGGAAUAUUGGGCAAUGGGCGAAAGCCUGACCCAGCAACGCCGCGUGAGGGAAGAAGGUCUUCGGAUUGUAAACCUCUGUCCUUGGGGACGAAGGACGUGACGGUACCCAAGGAGGAAGCUCCGGCUAACUACGUG